CGCCCUUAGAGUUUGAUCCUGGCUCAGAUUGAACGCUGGCGGCAUGCUUUACACAUGCAAGUCGAACGGUAACAGGCCUUCGGGCGCUGACGAGUGGCGAACGGGUGAGUAAUGCAUCGGAACGUGCCCAGUCGUGGGGGAUAACGCAGCGAAAGCUGUGCUAAUACCGCAUACGAUCUGUGGAUGAAAGCGGGGGACCUUCGGGCCUCGCGCGAUUGGAGCGGCCGAUGUCAGAUUAGGUAGUUGGUGGGGUAAAGGCUCACCAAGCCAACGAUCUGUAGCUGGUCUGAGAGGACGACCAGCCACACUGGGACUGAGACACGGCCCAGACUCCUACGGGAGGCAGCAGUGGGGAAUUUUGGACAAUGGGCGCAAGCCUGAUCCAGCAAUGCCGCGUGCAGGAAGAAGGCCUUCGGGUUGUAAACUGCUUUUGUACGGAACGAAACGGUCCUGGUUAAU
rnacentral:rRNA from 1 species